CUCCCAAACCCCUGUGAACAUACCUAUACGUUGCCUCGGCGGAUCAGCCCGCGCCCCGUAAAACGGGACGGCCCGCCCGAGGACCCCUAAACUCUGUUUUUAGUGGAACUUCUGAGUAAAACAAACAAAUAAAUCAAAACUUUCAACAACGGAUCUCUUGGUUCUGGCAUCGAUGAAGAACGCAGCAAAAUGCGAUAAGUAAUGUGAAUUGCAGAAUUCAGUGAAUCAUCGAAUCUUUGAACGCACAUUGCGCCCGCCAGUAUUCUGGCGGGCAUGCCUGUUCGAGCGUCAUUUCAACCCUCAAGCUCAGCUUGGUGUUGGGACUCGCGGUAACCCGCGUUCCCCAAAUCGAUUGGCGGUCACGUCGAGCUUCCAUAGCGUAGUAAUCAUACACCUCGUUACUGGUAAUCGUCGCGGCCACGCCGUAAAACCCCAACUUCUGAAUGUUGACCUCGGAUCAGGUAGGAAUACCCGCUGAACUUAAGCAUAUCAAUAAGCGGAGGAA
rnacentral:rRNA from 1 species